GGGGAUUUAGCUCAGUGGUAGAGCGCUUGCCUAGCAAGUGCAAGGCCCUGGGCUCAGUCCCCG
rnacentral:tRNA from 1 species